GAUCCUGGCUCAGAUUGAACGCUAGCGGGAUGCCUUACACAUGCAAGUCGAACGGCAGCACGGACUUCGGUCUGGUGGCGAGUGGCGAACGGGUGAGUAAUGUAUCGGAACGUGCCCAGUAGCGGGGGAUAACUACGCGAAAGCGUAGCUAAUACCGCAUACGCCCUACGGGGAAAGGCAGGGGAUCGCAAGACCUUGCACUAUUGGAGCGGCCGAUAUCGGAUUAGCUAGUUGGUGGGGUAACGGCU
rnacentral:rRNA from 1 species